rnacentral:rRNA from 1 species
AUACGAAGGGGGCUAGCGUUGCUCGGAAUCACUGGGCGUAAAGCGCACGUAGGCGGAUUGUUAAGUCAGGGGUGAAAUCCUGGAGCUCAACUCCAGAACUGCCUUUGAUACUGGCGAUCUCGAGUCCGGGAGAGGUGAGUGGAACUGCGAGUGUAGAGGUGAAAUUCGUAGAUAUUCGCAAGAACACCAGUGGCGAAGGCGGCUCACUGGCCCGGUACUGACGCUGAGGUGCGAAAGCGUGGGGAGCGAACAG